AGUCGUUCCCUCUCUCAGGGAACCGAGGUUACGUUAGUAACCGAGUCGUUUUCAUGCUAAACUCUCUGGAGGUAAAAAAUAUCAGUGAAUAAUGAAUGUCUGUUCCUUCCACACAGCUAUCGUGUGGCUUCUGAAGACUUGGAAUAUAGUGCAUGAGUUUUAUGGACUACGUUUAUAGUGCUUGUUCUGUCCUUAUUGGAUCUUUGCAGACAUGGUCGCUGUGAACUGUCCCAUGGAAAAUAAUGUGAAGAUGGCAUAAGAGGUUUUAAACAACAUGAGCUGUUAACAUGAGGAGAAGGAUUUCCAGUAGAAGAGCUUGCAUGGAGAUUUGUCUUUAGGAACUGGUUCUCCAAAAACAGACCUCUCUCCCAGUUUGCCAUUCAGCAAAUCAGAGUCAAGAUCUGCUAGUUCCUUACUAGUGAGGUUCAGCUCCGCCAUGUCUGUCAUCAUCAUCUUCAACAAGUCCUUGUCUUUGGCAAAGCCUCAGUGCUGUCACUAUUCCACAAAAUAAGGAGCAGAGGAUAUAGGCUCAGCAGCAUCCGCAUGAUGAACACACUUCUCUCUACUACAGCACGAUUAUCCCAUCCAACUCCCAUUGUCUUUUUUUAUAGGGGAA